rnacentral:rRNA from 1 species
ACAUUGCAAAGAGUGGCGAACGGGUGGGUAACACGUGGGAAACCUACCUCUUAGCAGGGGAUAACAUUUGGAAACAGAUGCUAAUACCGUAUAACAAUGACAACCGCAUGGUUGCUAUUUAAAAGAUGGUUCUGCUAUCACUAAGAGAUGGUCUCGCGGUGCAUUGGUUAGUUGGUGAGGUAAUGGCUCACCAAGACGAUGAUGCAUAGCCGAGUUGAGAGACUGAUCGGCCACAUUGGGACUGAGACACGGCCCAAACUCC